rnacentral:rRNA from 1 species
AGGGUUUGAUUAUGGCUCAGGAUGAACGCUAGCUACAGGCUUAACACAUGCAAGUCGAGGGGCAGCGGGAUUGAAGCUUGCUUCAAUUGCCGGCGACCGGCGCACGGGUGAGUAACGCGUAUCCAACCUUCCGUACACUCAGGGAUAGCCUUUCGAAAGAAAGAUUAAUACCUGAUGGUACGAUGAGAUUGCAUGAUAGCAUCAUUAAAGAUUUAUCGGUGUACGAUGGGGAUGCGUUCCAUUAGGUAGUAGGCGGGGUAACGGCCCACCUAGCCAACGAUGGAUAGGGGUUCUGAGAGGAAGGUCCCCCACAUUGGAACUGAGACACGGUCCAA